UUCACUGAUUUACGGUGCUGUCUUAUCCUUCUCUCGUUCCACCUCUCGCUGUCUAUGCUAUUUGCUGUUAUUUCGAACCACAAAUAGAUUUCCAUUCUCAGUUUCGCUUUGGUUCUCUGAAAUUUUUAUUUUUUUCCUCCCAUUUUCUGUUUGGAUUGAACCAAAGUUCAAAGACGUGAUUGAUGGCUCUGAAUCUCCUCCCUCCGGCAGAAAUUAAGUUAAUUUCGUUCCUGGAUUCCACUAAAUCCACUCGCCUCCCCAAGCUUCCAGGUGGAUUUGUUUUAAAGAGAAAGGAUUAUGGAGCAACAUUUGGUAGAAGAGUUAACUGUUCAGCACAGCCGCCUCCUCCAGCCUGGCCAGGACGAGCUGUUCCUGAGCUGGGGCGCAAGACUUGGGAUGGUCCAAAGCCUCUCUCAGUUGUUGGAUCUACUGGCUCCAUUGGAACUCAGACACUGGACAUAGUUGCAGAGAAUCCUGAUAAAUUCAGAAUUGUGGCACUUGCAGCUGGUUCCAAUGUGACUCUUCUUGCUGAUCAGGUGAAGACGUUCAAGCCUCAAUUAGUUGCUGUGAGAAAUGAGGCAUUAGUCAAUGAACUCAAAGAGGCUUUGGCUGACUGUGAACACAAGCCUGAGAUCAUCCCUGGAGAGCAAGGUGUAAUUGAGGUUGCCCGCCACCCAGAGGCAGUCACUGUAGUGACAGGAAUAGUAGGUUGCGCAGGUUUAAAACCUACAGUGGCUGCAAUAGAAGCAGGGAAAGACAUAGCCUUAGCCAACAAAGAGACCCUAAUUGCUGGGGGUCCUUUUGUCCUUCCUCUUGCACACAAGCACAAUGUAAAGAUCCUUCCUGCUGACUCAGAACACUCUGCAAUAUUUCAGUGUAUUCAGGGUUUGCCUGAGGGAGCACUUCGGCGCAUUCUUUUAACUGCAUCUGGAGGGGCAUUCAGGGAUUGGCCCGUUGAUAAAUUGAAAGAAGCUAAAGUUUCAGAUGCUUUGAAGCAUCCUAACUGGAAUAUGGGGAAAAAGAUCACGGUUGACUCAGCUACCCUUUUCAAUAAGGGUUUAGAAGUUAUUGAAGCACACUAUCUGUUUGGGGCUGAAUAUGAUGAUAUUGAGAUCAUAAUUCAUCCACAAUCUAUCAUACAUUCUAUGGUCGAAACACAGGAUUCGUCUGUCCUGGCACAGUUGGGGUGGCCUGAUAUGCGUUUGCCAAUCCUCUAUACUUUAUCGUGGCCAGACAGAAUUUACUGCUCUGAGAUAACUUGGCCACGACUUGAUCUUUGCAAGCUUGGGUCACUGACAUUUAAAACUCCUGACAAUGUGAAAUAUCCAUCCAUGGAUCUUGCCUAUGCUGCUGGACGGGCUGGAGGCACCAUGACAGGAGUUCUUAGUGCAGCUAAUGAGAAGGCUGUGGAGAUGUUUAUUGAUGAAAAGAUUGGCUAUCUAGAUAUAUUCAAGGUCGUGGAACUAACAUGUGAUAAGCACCAGGCAGAGUUAGUAACUUCACCAUCCCUCGAGGAAAUCGUACAUUAUGACCUCUGGGCCCGGGACUAUGCAGCCAGUUUACAUCAUUCUUCCAGUUUAAUGCCUGUUCCAGCAUGAUAAACAGCUUCUCCUUGUUGAUGGGAAUGAUGUCCUCUGAUUUAAGAAAUGGGGAAAUAUCUUGAAAUGCUGCCCAAAUCUAGGUCUUUUUGCCAAGGAUAAUAUAGAUUGAUGGCCUUGUCUUUGUUGGUUUCUGCAUCCUUACACCUUGGAGUAGGCAUUUGGUACGGAAUCCUUAUACACGUAACACAUCCAUGGCACAUGGGCCAAGAAGUAUUAUACAUGAAAAACUCUCAUCAGCUAGGCCUGUCUUUCGUUCCUUUCCAACACAACAAUCUCAAAGUUGGGCAGCUACAUGCUCUUAUAUUACCCUUAAUGAUAGAGAAAUCAAUACUACUAGCAUUUUCAAAUUAUUUUA